GCGAGAAGUUGGCGGCGGCGGCGGCGGGAGCGCAGGCGGGCCCCGCCGCCCCCUCGUCACCCUCCAGGAGCAGGUGAGCCACUGACUAACGCACAUUGUGCUCUCGGCGACUCCACUGUGCGUGUGACAGCGGCUAACCUGCUCCUCGGACAUCACUGUGCGGCCGUCUCGCCUCCCCGGACCCGCGCCUCGAAGCCUCGACGCCCUCCUGCCCUGUCGGCCACCCAGGUGAGGGGCUCCGGCGUGCCAACCCCAUUCAUCGCCACUGUCCUGCCUCCAGCGGCUCCCCAUCCUCGGCUCUGCGGUCCCCCGAUGCGCUGCCGGGAGUGCCCCAGGAUCGGCCGCACUUGCGCAGGGGAGCGCGAAAAGAUCGAACGCUUCCUGCAGCGGGGCUCGGUGUGUGCGGCGAGAGCGGAGAUGGAGGGAACGGGCCGUGUCGGCAUGUGGGUGCGAAUAGUUGGUGGUAAAGUUGUUCAGGAGGGAUGGCGUGCCCCCCUCUCUCUUCUCCAAAGUAAGUAAGUGCUAGCGGACUCCGUACCAAGUUAAAGAGACGCAUCAUCCCGGCCGGUGACGUCUUGAUACCCGGUCAGUGACUAACUGAACUGCUAUUGCCAAGGGUGUGUUAAUAGAAGAAACUCUGCCUAGUAUUGCCCUGGAUGAGUCACAUUUAAAGAGUGACUCUCUAGUCUGUUAAAGGAAAAGCAGAAACGAGCCUCACUUUCCUUUUUUGUUGCUGGUUUUUUUUUUUCCAUCCCACCCCUCACCUUUGCUCGCUGUUUUCUCCUUCUUGUGCCAGGGCUCUAUUGGCGCCCCGGCCCUGGCUGGGCGUUUGCAAAGCUUCCCUGCCCGAUAUGCUGUGAUGUCACGCAGGGGACUCUGACUUCAUGGCCCUAAAGAACAGGAAGGCGAGCCAGGCAGGGACUUUUCCAGCCACCCAGGGUGGCUGUCACUAAAAACGGAGGAAGUGACGAAGCAGAUGGCUUCUGCUACAAAGUUAUCUCUUGUGAUUUUUCGGCUGGUGAAGAAGCUGGGUAGUUGAAAAGUAUCUUUUCUGAAGAGCAGCACAACUUUAUUGUCAGCUGAGAUUCCUAAUAACCAGCUAGGAUUCACCACAGCCUACUGAAGUUCCCCGACAGGGCUCAGGUAUUCUACUCCUGGGGCUGGGCUCCUGUAGCCCUGGGCUGUUGUAAAGGCUUGAUCUGAAGGAAUUGGCAGUGCUCUGGUCAAUAAGUAGUUAAUGGCAUGGAAGGCAGAGCAAUGUCCUCUGUGUUGGUAAAGUGUCUCUCUGAGAAGUUUUGCCUGUCUCUAUCUCUUCUUCAUGCUCUUAUCUGUCAUUUCUGCCUCUGUGUCCCGGAGCAUCUGCUCCUCACAAGAAAACUCAGCUCCCUCUGUGCUCUGUGUUUCCUUUCCAGGGUGCUCAAACAACUGAAUUUACCCAAGAUGCUUUCAUGUUUGUUCAGAAAUCGAGUGGGCCUUUUUUUUUAUUUUAUGGGGGGCAGGGUGGGGGCAGACAAGUUUGCAGCUGUCUCAGCCCCGGAUCGCUUUUUUCUUCCCUUGCUGCACCUACAGCAUCUUCCCACUGCUGGUCUCGCAGGCAGGAGCACAGUGUAGCCACGUGGAGAGAGGGAGGGAGGGAGGGAGGGAGGGAAACCUGGUGCAAAAUCCACCUGUGUACAAGUGUGUCUGAGAGCUGAAACUGAAGGCCACAGUCCCCCACCACCUCAUUUUAUAGGUGACCAUGCAUGUAACAAACCUCUGUCUGAAAAUGAAGGUGCUUUGUUUCUUUUUGAAUAAACAGCCCUGCGUUUGGGACUGUGCUGGCUGGCGACUUAACCCCAGGAGGUGCCGCUGGCAGGAGCAGCUCUGCAGGUCGUCUGGCAAGACUUGUCCCAGUUCCCAUGAGCAGCACUAUGGUAUGAAUGCUUCAGACUUCCUGCUACCUAUGGAACCAUCCUGUUCAGCUUCAGUAAGCAAAAGGAAGGGGUUGAAGUGAAGUUUGUUUGGUUUUGCCUUUUUUGUGUGUGUCUCCAGUAAGUGGGGGGAGCAUACAGCUCAAUUCCUGUUUUUAACAUUCUUGUGGCAUGAUUCUAAACUAACCUGCUGUGCUGUCACCUGAAGUCUUCAAUAAAUGUGCAAAACCAA